rnacentral:rRNA from 1 species
AGAGACAGCAGCAGCCGCGGUAAUACGUAGGGUGCAAGCGUUAAUCGGAAUUACUGGGCGUAAAGCGUGCGCAGGCGGUUAUAUAAGACAGAUGUGAAAUCCCCGGGCUCAACCUGGGAACUGCAUUUGUGACUGUAUAGCUAGAGUACGGCAGAGGGGGAUGGAAUUCCGCGUGUAGCAGUGAAAUGCGUAGAUAUGCGGAGGAACACCGAUGGCGAAGGCAAUCCCCUGGGCCUGUACUGACGCUCAUGCACGAAAGCGUGGGGAGCAAACAGGAUUAGAUACCCCGGUAGUCCCUGUCUCUUAUAC